rnacentral:tRNA from 1 species
UGCCGGGUCGUCUAAUGGUAGGACAUCGCCCUUUGAAGGCGAGUAUUGGGGUCCGAGUCCCUGCCCGGCAA